AGUGGCAAUUAAAAAAGAAAUAAACAUGAACUCCCCAAAUGAGCCACAAAAAUAAAUCAGCAUGUCUAAAUUUCAGAAUGAGAAACAAAGAUGCAAUUCUCUCCUCAGACCAAACGAAGCAGAGAUUUUCAAACUGCAGAGGUGCCACAGAAAAGGCUGAAUUCUCAAGCAUAGUGAGCUUAGACUUUAUAGCUAAAAUAGAAAUUUCAGCUUUUAGAGCUGAAAUAGAAGGUCUGAGCAUUAACAAAACAUUAGAACCUUGCAUUUAAAAAUUAGUAUGAGAAAUUUUUGUUAUUGUGCUGAGACCCUUACACACAUGAUUUCUUCUAGCCAAUACAGGCACAGAUUCAACAAAGAUGGUGCUUUAUUGUGAAAAUAGAAUAUUCACCUUGUCUUCUGACAUCAUAAAGACCACCCACAUUUGCACAGAUGCUGCUGCUAUAGUACUUUCAGGCAAGGCCAAGGCUUCUUGAAAGGCUGGUCAUGCCCCAGUGAUCAAUGAAGAACUCAGGGAUAUCCCAAAACUCAGGACUAUAAGGCACAAUGGGGGAGCAGGUACCAGGUGGCCAGCAUCCUAAAUGACUCUCAGCAGCUGCAGAGAAGUAUAGAAUGCUGGGGCCCUUCCAUUACUCCAUGCACUGGGGAAGAACUAGAAUUGUGAGAAGAGCUUUCACGCUCCCAUAACCAUUCCUUGGCCCACCUCCAAGAAAAGGCAGGCUGGCCUCUGUUUAGGUGUUGUCUGUGCUUGCAUUCCCAACGUUGACAUGAGGAAUUAUCAAUGGGUUCCGGACAUAAUCAGCCACACGGCAGAGUGAAUUCCAGGAGUGUAAAUAACAAGAGCUGCCUAUAAAUCUACCUCAGAAGACAAAGGGAAAAGCAAAACUCUGCCCAGGAAGACCUUACUUUACAAACCAGGUGACCAAAUUUCUAAAACAUCAUUCCCGUAAUCCCUGAUCAACAGAAAGGAAGCUCUGGAAGCAUGAAUGCUCAACCAUAUUUACCAGCCUUCCUGUGGUCAUUUGUCUGAGCUCCAGCUAGUGAAGUAUGAGUAGAACGGACAUGCACCACUUCCAGACCUGGCACCGGCAAACCCCCCAUGGCAACCCUCCAACCCUUUCCUCAACAACUGGACCACGCUGGAAAGGACUGAGGAUCUAGAGGAGGACAGGGCUGUAAUAUGGAAGGAGUUUGGUUUCUGAAGGACCAUGUAGCAGGCCACCUGCAGGGCGGGAACAUCUUUAAUAGGUUUGGAAUAGCAAGAAAUAAACUGGUCUUGUAUUAAACAACUAA
rnacentral:lncRNA from 1 species